rnacentral:lncRNA from 1 species
GUGAGCGCAUGCGUGUUAGGGGAGAGGUGGAGCUAUGUCGUCAUCGUUUCAGAAGAAUCUCGUGUAAACACAGAAACGUGUGGUCGUGGUUUGUCCGUGAUAUCAAGGGAGCCGGGUUCAGAUGUUCUGGUUCCGAACGGCCGCGUCGUGUGGACGAGGCCUCAGUGAGCGGAUGUUCCGAAGCCAGAUGAUACAGGUCUGCGCUCGGAGGCCGGUUUGGUCCGAAUGACUACCCGUAGACCACGUGACUGUUGUUGUCACACGCCGCGCCGCUGCUGCACGCGCAUGCUGGACGCUCCGAAGCUAACGGACAAUAACACGCGCUGUGGACGGACCUGGAGCCUCGCGGGACACAGUCCACUGUGGGAGACAUGUGCUUCUCCACGGGGGACUCGGCGCUGACGCUGGCGGUGCCGCCUGUAGAAGCAGAAGCUACCGGGAGCUAGCAUUAGCGGCUAUGCGGCUAACUGGAUCCGCCGGGUCCACAAACACCCGCCCGCUAAGGAACGGGUCCACGGCGUGAUACGGAGCAGAGCGUGUUGUGUUCGUGCUGGACUCCACAGAACCAGGUUGUGGGAGUGUGGAGAAAACGGCAGGAGACGCGCCGGGGGUCGGUCCAGAGGACCAGCUUUCCAGCCGGGCUCGGUGACAGAAGGGGCGUCACAGUGGGGAUGUCCAGAGAGCACAGCGGAUGGAUCCGAGGUCACGCCCGUUGAGGAGGAGAGGAGGGGCCAGGAGGAGCACGGCAGAGGUCAGGAGGAGGUGCUGACACGGGAAGGUGAAAGCAUAGAGGAGCAGAUGAAGCCAGGCUACUUGUGUGUAUGUGUAGAGUCUGGGUCAGAGUGUGUGUGUGUGUGUGUGUGUGCGUGUGUGCUGUGCUGUGUUGUGCUGUGCUGUCUGCAUGUGUCACUUGAGCGUGUGCUGGUUAGGAAGUGUGUUUGUUAAGCUGGAUCCAUACUCCGCGAGACAAAGACAUUUUUCCCCCCUGCAGACGUUACGCCCACAAAAUGACUUCAUUUUUUGUCUCUGACCGCCCGCUGAUCCGCACUCCUGUGCACAGGGUCUGGGCCGAACUUUGUCUUUCAAGGCUGUGCGGCAACCAUGCUGUGAUUGGUCGGAAUUUAUUGUGGGCGUGAUGAAGUGGAGAAGCGCAAGAGCCUCUCCAGGUAUAUAGGUAGGUGUAUAAACAGCGCUGAUACAACAGAUUUAGAUAAGACCAUACUGGUUUUGCAUGAUGAGCAAUAAAAGAAAGAAAGAAAGGCA